GAUGAUAAAGAAGUUGUAGAUAUGGAUAAAUUCGAUGGUUGGACAACACUGAAUAUAUUGGAUGCCAUGGAACUGUACCUUUAAACAUGGUUAAAAUGGGAGCCAUGAAAUAUCUGAGCUGCGCAGGUGAUGCACAAGGAGACAGAAGCAGUAUGACCUUUACACAGUGACCUGACUCAAAUAAUUUCAGGCUGUCAUUAACCAGGCGAGCUCCGCUUUCUCUCUGAGGUAGGUAAACUUGAGGGGGUAAAGAGGGAGUUGGGGAAAAUGGAAAAGAAAGCCUGGUAGUAUUUCUUCUAACUCUGUCAUAAAUAAAAAGUAAAACAUAGAUGCCGUUUCUCAGGGCCCAAAUGUUAGGUGAAAAAAUGUCAUCUCAGUCAUGUGAUGUGGACUUCAGCCGAGCAGGACACACAUGGUCAUUUACCCUUUCCCUCUGCAUGUCGUGUGCUUUUUCAGUUUAUAAUGUACCUGAUCCACUUGUCUCAUCACACUAGCUGCAAACAAGGCCACUGAAUGUCACAGCAGGUGGCUGGCAUGUCUGUGAAGGGCAGAAACUGGGGCAGCCAAACAGCUGGCAGAGGCCAGCUAGGAAGUACCUGAUGCCCACUCCAUAGAGGACUCCACACUUAAAAGACAAGAUAAGAAAGUGUCAGGCUGCCUCACUAGUUAUCCCCCCAAAUAAAAAAAUAAAAGUAACCCCUCCAGGGAAUGUGUGUGUACACACAAAAGUACAUGCACACAGCUACAUGCAAACGGGAAAGGCUGGGAAGGAACCAAAUCCACCUCUGAACACCAGUUACUUGUGGGGAAGGGGCAGGUGAAGCCAACUGCCAGCAUUACUCACCUUUUCAACGGAUGAGCUUGCAUCAGUUUUGGCAAUUUCUCAUAAAAAGGCAAUUUUCACUCCUUGGGUGAUCACCCAGGCCCUGCAAAACUGAGCCACCAACAACCACCUGCACCACUUCCCAUGAGGCCAAAUAAUGGCUUCCCUCAAAGCUCAGCCCUCCCACACACCUCCCAGUCCUGUCCCAUGCAGGGGGCUGCUGGCCUCCUGGGGUACAUGGGUCCAGGCCAAACCCAACCCACAGAUGGUUGGUGAAACCAGCAUGUAUCCAAGGGCCUUUCCCCAACCUGGGUCAAGUGCCAACUGCCAACUGCAUAGAUAGGCCUGUGCUUGCUCCCCUAGGACAGAGACUCCCUUUUCUUCCAUUGGAAUGAGGGAUGGGGAGAUUUGAUGUCCUGUACAGGUUGGAUGUUAAUCUGAUGUGGUGCUGUUGGAGAAGCUUGCCUGAGUUAGGCGCCUUCUCAGCAUGUGGUGUGUGCUGCCCCUUCAAGCUGCAGGAGUCCCAGAAGGUAAGUGCUGCUGCAACCCCCAUUUACAGGUGAGCAGAGGUCAGGUGAUCUGCAGGCGGCCAAGCAAGUGCUAAGUGGCCAACAGGCUGGAUCUGCAUCUCACUUGCAGAGGCCCUGCCUGGCAGCUGGGGCUGCCCCGAGACUCCCUCCUCCUCCUCUUCCCUCCACAGCUCUCCCGGCUUCUAUCCACAGCUGUGCUCCAGGUGGGGAACACCUAUGGAUGCACCAGAGUGCAACUACUCAGACCCCAGUGUGCAGAAGGGCCCUGGCUCCAUGCCGUUUCCAUAUCCAAGCCCAAGCUCAUCUAGAGCUUCAGCAAAUCCAAGCCUCCCUGAAUUCCCUGCAAGACCAAACUGAGCCCUACAACUCCCACUACACUGGUUAGCUGCCAGCCCCAGCCUCUGCUCCUUCCUGGGCCCCUGUCGGCACAGUUCUGAAGUCCUACAAGAAUGUUGAGAUCCUAAGCCGACUCUCACCCAAGAGGUAAACAACCAGGGGCCUCCAGGGGUAGAGAACAUACCCAGACAGGUUCUGCUGCCUGUAGGCUUCAUGUCCUUCCCCUACAACACGCCAUGCUUGCCAGGCUGGAAGAGGGGCUCCAGAAACUUGGAAACCUGGGCCUGUAGCUGGCAUAUGGAAAAGAGGCCUGGAAAAGCACCACUCCUGUCCAUGAAGCCCCCAGAUGGAACCAGGUCCUGUUCAGAAACCCCAUCUGUGCCUUUGGAGAGACUGCCCCGAGCACACAGGCCCAGCAACCGCCAUCUAUGGCCCCCAGGACCUAAUCCCUUCUACAUAGGGUUCAGUGCAUGAACAGCAAGAGGACCUUGUGCAUGAAUAAUUUGUUUCCAUACUACAGAAAGAAUCCCAGACUUCUUAGAGAACCCAGUGACUUUUUGCACCUUAAAUCUGUGAAAUCCUCAUGUUUUCUUCUGCCGUAUCCAUAGUUCAAACAAAGAUGAGGCAAAGCUAGACGCAUUCCUGAAGGAACCCAAGAAAUUCCUCUCUUUCUCUCUCUGGAAUGAAAUGAAUUCUCUAGACCACCAGUUCUAACCUUCAAAAACCAAACCUGUUUGUGAGCUGUCCUUCAAAUACUACUGUAGACCCCAGUGUUUAUUCAUUAAAUUUUUUAAAUAUUUGUUUUAUUUGGAAUCAAAGUAUUUGUAAUUUUAGUAUUUGUAUUAAUAUCAGGGAGAAAUGUUUAAAUCUGUCUAUGCCAUAUGUGCCUCUGGCUUAUUGCCCAAUUAAUUGUAGCCUCAGGCUAAACUUUGGUUUCUGUCUUUAAUUUUUGUCAGAAGAAAUAUAACUGAUCUCAAAACAUCUGCUUUUAUUGUAGGGACUCGUGCUGCCGUCUCCAUUCUUCUCUCUUUUCUUGCAAUCUGGGUGGAAGUUCUUUAAUGUGAACAUUUCAACCACCUUCAUUCUACCAUGUCCACUAUGAGCACAUUCAAACUUAUCCAGCCAAGGGUAUCAUCUUAGGCCAGGGAUUUUUUAGGAAUCUAUUUUGCUGUGAUGCAGCUGGCACCCCUUUGACUCACUGUAUCACCCCAGGGUUCUUUUCAUUUCAGAAGCCCAAGAGGGCAGAAAAAGAAGUAGGUGAGCAAUUAAACACUCUGAGUCAGGAGCGUCUCCCCUUGUGUUAGGCAAUGUUGUAGAACAUCGUAUUUAGCAAGCUCCCAGCAGAUGAGCCACGUGGCUGCUGAGCACACACGCCUGCUUGCUGCUGUGAGCUCAGACACCAUCAUCAUGUCUUUUCCAUCUCUGGAGGGAAUUGUAAGGGCCACUUAAUAACCUGUAAAUCACAGAGAGUUAAAGGUGCUUCCCCAAAACACUGAUGACAGAAUGAACGGUGAGGAGUGUUAGCCACAGGUCAGAAGUGCAGGAAAGUCUCUCAGUGUGGGUUGUUGAAGAAAUGCAGGUCUUUUUUCUUUUGGAAGUCUCCCUAGAAUGCGGUCAAGGACUCUGCCCACUCUAGGAUGAAAAAUUGGGAUAUUAGACACCCUCAGAUAUUUAUCCCAAGCUUUCAUUUUGGGCUCUUAAUUAGUUCAUCCAUCACAAUCUCAAAUGCUAAGCAGGGCAGUUGAAUCUCUCCACAGUCCAAAUCAGCACCGUCUUUUAAAGUUGAGUUUCUUAUUAUUCUCACCUGGUAUACCUUAUUUAUCCCACACCCACCCCAAUAACAUAUCGUGCUCACUGUUGGGAGGACGUCAUGGAUGCAGGUGCAGGGGGAAGACCACGUGAGAGCACGGGAGGACGUCAGGGAUGUGAGUGCAGGGGGAGGACCACGUGAGGGCAUGGGAGGACGUCAUGGAUGCAAGUGCAGGGGGAGGACCAUGUGAGGGCACGGGAGGACGUCAGGGAUGUGAGUGCAGGGGGAGGACCACGUGAGAGCACGGGAGGAUGUCAGGGAUGUGAGUGCAGGGGGAGGACCACGUGAGGGCUCGGGAGGACGUCAGGGAUGUGAGUGCAGAGGGAGGACCACGUGAGGGCUCGGGAGGACGUCAGGGAUGUGAGUGCAGGGGGAGGACCACGUGAGGGCUCGGGAGGACGUCAGGGAUGUGAGUGCAGGGGGAGGACCACGUGAGGGCUCGGGAGGACGUCAGGGAUGUGAGUGCAGGGGGAGGACCACGUGAGGGCACGGGAGGACGUCAGGGAUGUGAGUGCAGAGGGAGGACCACGUGAGGGCUCGGGAGGACGUCAGGGAUGUGAGUGCAGGGGGAGGACCACGUGAGGGCACGGGAGGACGUCAGGGAUGUGAGUGCAGAGGGAGGACCACGUGAGGGCACGGGAGGACGUCAGGGAUGUGAGUGCAGGGGGAGGACCAUGUGAGGACAUAGGAGGAUGUCUGGGAUUCGAGUGCAGAGAGAGGACCACGUGAGACAUAGGAGGAUGUCCGGGAUUCGAGUGCAAAGGGAGGAACGUGUGAGGACAUGGGAGGAUGUCAGAUAUACGUGUGCAGAGGGAGGCCCACAUGAGAACAUGGGAGAAGAUGUCGUCUGCAAGCCAGGGAGAGGCCUCAGGAGGAGCAGCCCUGCCACACCUUGCUCUGGGACUGCCACCCUCCAGUACCCUAGGAGAACACAUUCCUGUUGGUGAAGCUGCCAAGGCCGUGCUGCAGCACCAGGGGCCUCUGGUUGACAGACUGCAGAGCAGCGAUGCCCGUGGUAGCCUCCACGUAAACUCUCUAGAAGGGUUUUGUUUUCUAUCCUCAUUUUUCCUGCCUUAUCUUUCAAGAGGCUUCCUUUGCCUUCACUUGUGUAGGUUCGUUUCUAAAUACAGAGAAGGAAUGCAGGCAAAGGAGUACCAAGCCAAGCCAUCUUUUUAAAAGAUAAAAAGGGCACAUUUUUCUUCCUUCCUGAGGAACUCAUACACCAAGUAUGCACAGAACACCUGUAAAUGGUAGAGGAUUCAGAUAUUUUGAAAGCACAAAACCUACUCUUGAAGAACACACAACUGCUGAGUGGUAACAAAGUUUUGGCCGCUAUAGCUGCUAAAAAUAGAGUUGUCAUAUUCUACAACUAAAAAUAAAGAAAUACAUCACUGAUCAAACACGCUUGAUGGCCUUCAUUUGCAUACGGUCGUGACAAGCCCGGUGGGAGGUGUAAGAAUGCUUGGGUGUUACCCUGCCCCUGAGGAGCUCAUGAAAGCGGUGUUCACAGCAUGCUGCAGUUGCUCACAUCGUAGUUCAUAAGGCAUUUUCUCACAUGCCACCUAAACUCUUCUGCGUGGCAGCUGGGGCAGGCACCACCUUUCUAUUUCUCAGGUGUGAAAACUGAGGGUCUCAAAGAGGCAAGCACUUGCCAAAGUCACGCAGCAAGCAAGGACAAAUGAGAGGGAGGCGUCUCCAACCAGGCGCAGGCUGACAGAUGUGGGCCCGUGAGCACCACUUACCCUCAGGUCUGUGAUAGGGGUCAGAUGGGUGACAGCCACAUGAGAGGCCGUCCUCUUGGGGUUGAGGAGAGAGGCCACUCUCCUCUGGGAUGGGCUUGAAAGAUGUCUCUGUACAGGGUGGGCAGAGAGGAGAGGGAGACCUUCUCAGAGCAGGGAGGUGCACGCUGUCACCAGGAGCUGGCCAAGAGGCUCACCAGAGCUGCGGUGGAGGCCGUGCAGACUGUGUGGCGGGGCUGGAACCUGGUUUCAUAGAAACAACAGGGAGAAAACAGAGUUGUGAGCUGGAGAGGUUCAUGGCCAGAUGAGCUGCACAGGUGGGUGGUGGGACCAAGGCCACAGUGGUCAGGAAAUGCUGUGAGGGGACAGUGAGGAAAGAGGAUGUCCCAGGGCCGUUCAUGCUUGUGACCACAAAGAAGAGAUGGCUGGGCCAGGCUCCCCCUUAGCAGGUCUGGUAGCAGUUAUGCAGGUGCGAUCAUCAGUUGAUUGAAGAGCUCUCGGGUGAAAAG
rnacentral:lncRNA from 1 species